UUUCUGUUUUGAUAACAUCUUAUGUUGUUUUAUUAACUACUUACAUACUACAGUUCCAGGCUGUGGGUUUUCUAAAUGGAUUUUUAAUGAAUUUGAGGAAUUAAUUGCUCUUUCUGCA